AAAUGGACUGACUUGUCCAUCAUCAACCAGCAACAACAUUAAAUGUACUGGGAUUGAGAACAUAUGUCUUCAGAAAACAACCACCUUAACAGGUAAAACAAACAUAAUACUACUUGAAUUAUUAAUGGACUAUUUAUUAAUAGGCACUGUGACUGGUCUGAAACUAUCACUCAAAGCACUCACAAUAUCCCCAAUACAUGAAGUCUACAGCAAACAAAACGGUGGUCAAUCAGAGUGUAAAAUGUGUUUUUUUGCACCCAUUGUUAAUGUUAGAUGCUUGAAAGGAAGACAUUGAGAGAGCAUAGGAGAGGCAAGUAGAGAACAAUGUAAGAGCACAUUGUAAGGCAUCAUGAAAUUAAUUUAUAUAAAACUGUUUCAAAGCAAUCAAACAAAAAUAUUUACAUUUGACAUUUGUUUAAAAAAAAAAAGAUUUACCUGUUAUUAGAACUCAUCCUCAACUAUUUUCUUUCAUGUAAUAUAUUUUUUUCUAUAGGAAGCCAAUCAAAUCCUAACGCGUUUCGUGGUUGUAUCACAAAAAGCAUUUGUGAUGCUGAGACCCAGUUGAUAGACACCAGCCAGCCACGUACAUCUGUUAAGUUCACC